CUUCCUUAAGCUGCAUAUAUGCACACAUACCACAGUGCUCCGAUUCAGCCUCCGCCAUGAGACGAAGUUUGGUGAAUCUUCAAAACCCAACACUCCCUUAUCGACAAACCCUAAUCCCAGCCUCAGCCUACUCCACCUCUGGCGGCGCUGGUGGCGGAGGAGGCGGCGGCAGAGGUCGGGGACGAGGCUCCUCUUCAUUUCCCCCCACCUCUCACUUCACUCCCCGCACCCCAGGAAAGACCGAGUCCGACGAUCCCAACACAGACGAGUCGCCCGAAAGCAACUUCUCCGCCGGAAUCGGUCGUGGUCAUGGCCGUGGUAAACCCCUCCCUUCAACUCCGAUUCUUCCAUCAUUUUCUUCAUUCGUGUCGAACGUGAGAGGUACUGGUCGAGGCCGAGUCACAAGCCCACAGCAAUCCGAUCCACGUCCACCAGAACCAGAACAAUCUGGACCCAAGAAACCCAUCUUCUUCCGCAGAGAAGACGCAUCCGAUUCGACACCCAAAGCCCCAAUUCGCGAUCUGGGUCGAAACCCAGAAGAGAGUGAUCUCCCUUCGGGCAUCUUGUCGGUGUUAGCCGAUGCCGGUGCCGGCCGCGGCAAGCCCGAGAAACCGGCGGAUUCCGGCGAGAAGGUGAAGGUGGAAAACCGGCAUCUCCGAGCCAGGCCACCAGGACAGGGACCCACUAGGGAGAGAGGUGCGAGUGUUGCGACUGAGAAGACCAGUGAUUUGCCGAAGUUGAGCCGCGAGGAGGCGGUGAAGAAGGCGAUGGGAAUACUGUCGAAGGGGGGCGGCGGGGACAACAGAGGGGAAGAAGGCGGAAGGGGAAGAGGGUCUGGAGGGAGAGGUUCUCGCGGCGGCCGAGGAAGGGGAAGAGGGUUUAGAGAUAGAGGGGACAGAAGAAGUCGAGCUCGGGAUGAGGAGGAGAUGAUCAUCGACGACGAUGAUGUUGACGACGGCGCUGAUGAAAUAUUGGCUAAGCGGAUUGGUCCCGAGAAUAUGAGUAAAUUGGUGGAAGAUUUCGAAGAAUUGAGCUACACAGUAUUGCCUUCUCCUGCUGAUGAUGCAUAUUUGGAUGCGAUGAACACCAAUUAUAUGAUAGAGUGUGAACCAGAGUACUUGAUGGAGGAAUUCGGAACCAAUCCCAAUAUUGAUGAGAAGCCUCCGAUUCCUCUUCGUGAUGCUCUUGAGAAGAUGAAGCCAUUCUUGAUGGCUUACGAAGGAAUUCAAAGUCAAGAAGAGUGGGAGGAAGCCAUUAAAGAAACUAUGGAGAAAGUCCCUAUUAUAAAAGAGAUUGUGGAUCAUUAUAGUGGACCUGACAGAGUAACUGCAAAGAGACAAGAGGAAGAGCUGGAAAGAGUCGCAAAAACUCUUCCUGAACGUGCUCCUGCUUCUGUAAAGCGGUUUACAGAUCGUGCUGUUCUUUCUCUCAAGAGCAACCCAGGAUGGGGAUUUGAUAAGAAAUGCCAAUUCAUGGAUAAGCUUGUGUGGGAGGUCUCACAGCAUUAUAAAUAAGCACGUUGUGUCAUCUUGCUAAUCAAACCGAGUGAAAAGCAUAUUCACUACUUACAUCAUUCAGGAUUAUCACAAGGGAUAGCAGUGAGCUACUAGGGACUUUGGGAGUUAGUCUUCAGUUUGAUUCACAUCUUCAAUGACUGACGGAGGCCUGAACUUUUUAAUAUUGGCUAGUACUCUCAAGCGUUUUUAUUCUCGUUAUGAUUGCAAGCCUGUAGAGUGUAGACACUAAAAAUUUCUGAUCAAGAAACCUACAUUGUUGUUUCAAGCUAGUGUCAUAGUUCUUGUUUAGUCAUUUUGGAGACUAGCUGCAUCAUAUAGCCCAAUUAUUAUGUGGGAACUAAGCAUUGUA